AACGAACGCUGGCGGCAGGCUUAACACAUGCAAGUCGAACGCAUCCUUCGGGGUGAGUGGCAGACGGGUGAGUAACGCGUGGGAACGUGCCCUUCAGUUCGGGAUAACCCAGGGAAACUUGGGCUAAUACCGGAUACGUGCGAGAGCAGAAAGAUUUAUCGCUGAAGGAUCGGCCCGCGUCUGAUUAGCUAGUUGGCGGGGUAAUGGCCCACCAAGGCGACGAGCAGUAGCUGGUCUGAGAGGAUGAUCAGCCACAUUGGGACUGAGACACGGCCCAAACUCCUACGGGAGGCAGCAGUGGGGAAUAUUGGACAAUGGGCGCAAGCCUGAUCCAGCCAUGCCGCGUGAGUGAUGAAGGCCUUAGGGUUGUAAAGCUCUUUCGUCCGGGACGAUAAUGACGGUACCGGAAGAAGAAGCCCCGGCUAACUUCGUGCCAGCAGCCGCAGUAA
rnacentral:rRNA from 1 species